GGCUAGGGGUUGAAUCAGAGCUGUAGCUGCUGGCCUAUGCCACAGCCACAGCAACACCAGAUCUAAGCUGUGUCGGCAACCUACAUCACAGCUCAUGGCAAUGCCAGAUUCUUAACUCACUGAGUGAGGCCAGGGAUCGAACCUGCAUCUUCAUGGGUAUUGGUCAGGUACAUACCCGCUGAGCCACUACAGGAACUCCUUUUUUCUUUUUUUGUGUGCAAAUACUCUUACAUCUCACAAGGGGGGAAAGGGGAGUGGGGUGCAUAUAAGGUGAUGAGCAGAUGAUGUAACUCACGUUAAUAACACAUAAUAUAAAAACAUAUAGAGAAAUAUUUUUACUGUCAAAUAAACUGUUAAUUCCAGUGAUAGAUUAUGUACAUAACAGUAAAACAGGGACAGUGGUUUAUUUGAAAACCUUACUAUUUUGUAUUCUAAAUUGAUUUGAAAGUACAGUAUUUUAUAUUAGUUUAGAUCCUUUAAAAUGUGACUAUUCCCAGCAGCGACCAUUUCCUCACCUAACAAAAUCUUCAGUUUCAGUAAACACUUCCCAUUACAUGCUAAAUUUUACCUCCUACUGAAAAAGCAAUGAUGCUAGGUGACUUUCAUUACCUGUAAUAUCAGAAGAUCAAAAAACAUUCUGGAAAGGCACAAAGACCUAAAUUUCCACUUCCUAUUUCCCAGGUUAAAGCCACACUGACAACAUCAAUUGGAAAUAGAUCUAGAAAUCAAUUAAUAUACUAGAAAGAUUAAACUUGAGCUUUAACUCUAAAUUAAGGUCAAUUACUAGAUAUAAAAAAUUUUAUAGAAGGCAAUAACAGAUUUCUCAAAAUUACCUCUGUCGUGUUUUUAAAUUUCUUGCUCUGAAUUGGAACAUCAUUACCUACAUUCUUACAGGAGAGAGUGAGUUAUUGUUUUUCUUUUGAUCUUAAAUCUUUAAUAAAGGGAUAGUUUGUUCAGGAAAUACACAUUUCGGAGGUUUCUCUUUCUCAUCCUUGAGAAGAGACUUAGAUUAAUUCUUAAGGACUCAGAAAGAAAAGAAGAGCGAUCUCAUCACUGUAUAUGCAGGACACUAAAGGCCUGAUAAAUCACAGGGGGAUUAAUCUGGGUGAUUCAAACUAUUUUAGUGACAGCUAAAGAUAUAUUGGAUAGUGUAUCUACAUCUAUCUAGAUAUAUAGAUAUACACACUAUAUUAUAACACUAUAAAUAUAUAUUCAAAUUAUAUAUGUAUAUAUCCUACAUACACAAUGAAGGGAAGAAAAUUGUGGUGACAGAAAUAGCAAUUUUUUAAUUGCUUUUUUUUAAGCCUUUUAGCAUCAUACCAAACUUUGAGGUAAAUGUGCUCUUGUGGGGCCCCCUCUAUAAACUGAAAAAUGAUUCAUUCCAUUUAUUCUUCUGAUUUAACAACUUAAACAGAAAAAACAAAACAUAUUAAUACAACAAUGAAUGUGCUGUUUUUCUGCAGUGAGUGAAUUUGUGUGUGGAUGUAUUCAAUGUAGUUCAAAAGUAACACUGGUGAGAAAAUAUAAAUUCAUUCUGUAGACACUAAUUAAACAUACUGACUCUUUUUUUUUUUUUUUUUUUUAGGGGAAGAAAGAGGCUUGGAACCUAUAGUGAAUAGAUACAGUGUGUGAGUUCUUCAAAUAGGAAACAACUCACAACCUUGACCUCAAACUGGAGCCCACUGACAUUCUUGUUCUUUUAUGCAAGUCAAGUGCUUUCCCUGGAAGCCUCCAGGUUUGGAGAAGAUUCUCAGAUAUGGAAUGGGAUUUCUGCCACAUUCUACCUGGAUGGCCCUAGGAAAAUAAUUAAGUCAUUCUGGGUCUCAAUGUCUUCAUAUGUAAAAAAUGAACACAAUGAUUCUUAAUGACUAAAGGUCAUUAUGGAGGUUCCAGGUAAUGCAUUAAGUAAAUAUACACUGUAAGCUGCAAAGCUGUCUAAUAAUUUAUUUUUUAAGAAUAUUUACAGCUGAGCCCCUCUAGGCACCAUCUUGUCAGUAACUCUUGGUGAUGCUGAGUGAGAAGGAAGGAUUAACAACUUGAGGCAAACAUAAAUCUCAAGUUUUAUUCCCAGUUGAAUAAUUUUGAAUACCAUUGCAUCUAACAGAGACACAUAGGGCUUCAAAGUUAUCAGGUCUGCCUGCCUCUACUUUCUCAUCCAGUCUUUUUUUGUAUUACUUUGUCAAUUCAAUAAUCUCUUCUGGUGGGUUCUAAACCCAUCACAGUAGUGAUUCUUUUGGUUCUGCCUCCUUUUUUUUAAGAGUUUAAUUUUUUUAUGACAUACAGAUAGCAAUGUAACAAAUCUUAAAAUAUAUAGAUAUAAUGUAGAAAUCAAUCAGCCAUUAGCUCUAAUACUUCAGAUUAUAUCCGAAAAAUGAUUCCUGAAUUUAUCAUCCUACAAGGGAGUCACACAGAGUCUCUCUGAUUCUUAGCAUUCCAUUUUUGUUCAACCUAAAAAAGAUUAGAGAAGGAAAGGAGACUAUACAGCCUAUUAAAUAGCCAGAGGUAAAUGUGUAAAGAAAAAAAAAACUAGAAGGAAAUGAACCAACCUGUUAAAGUCAUAGGAGAGACUGUUUCUGAGCAACUGAAUAGUUCUGUCAACUUGGUUUUUCCAUACUUCCUGAGUUUUCUUCUGUAAUGGACUUUCAUGAAAACAACAACAAAAAAAUCCUACAAACACUUAAAGUAAUUGAUGAGAGGCAGCCCAAGUGUGUGUUCUGUUCUGCAGGCUGCCCACUGCACAAUUCUAGAAGGCUCC
rnacentral:lncRNA from 1 species